rnacentral:tRNA from 1 species
GGCCCCUUGGCGGAAUGGCAGACGCAGGGGAUUUAAAAUCCCUCGCCCUUUGGGCAUCCCGGUUCGAGUCCGGGAGGGGCUACCA